GACAGAGGGUGCAAACGUUGUUCGGAAUUACUGGGCGUAAAGCGCGUAUAGGCUGCUCCGCAAGUCGGGUGUGAAAGCCCUGGGCUCAACCCAGGAAGUGCACUCGAAACUGCGAAGCUCGAGUCCUGGAGAGGAAGGCGGAAUUCUCGGUGUAGAGGUGAAAUUCGUAGAUAUCGGAAGGAACACCAGUGGCGAAAGCGGCUUCCUGGUCCGACACCGACGUUCAGGCACGAAAGCGUGGGGAGCAAACAGG
rnacentral:rRNA from 1 species